AAAAAAAAAAAAAAAAAAGAAUCAAAGCUUUAAAAUCCAGCAGAAGUAAAAUUUCCAAGUGGGAGGGAAGAGGAUCAACAGGAGAAUCUGCAAGAGUAAAAGAGGAAGAAGAUGUGUGCUGCAUGGCACAAAAUGAAUCUGCAAAGCAUCUGGGAACUGCAGACCCUACUGAUGCCUGGAACUCACUGGAGUCAGCAUGUCCAGGCAGUCAUUGUAGCAAGUCAGAGUGGUGUGAUGAAAUGCUUCAGGAGAAAAACAUUUCACCACAGCCUGGUUCACUCAGAUACCUUGCCAGGGAACCAACAUCUCACUCGGGCCUCUGAUAUUGUAACUGUGGGCCUUUAAGAAACAACGGAAAACCCAACUGAAUAAAAACUGACCUCCUUUGUGGCUGCCCUGAUGGAAGGGGCUCAGGAGCAACAGCCUUCAUGGUGCCCACCCUCUGGGCCAGAACAACGGAUGCCCCACAACUGAGUUUAGUGCCUCCAAGAACCACAGCUUUUUUUUGCAGCAGUAAGAGCAUACCUCUGAGGCACUGUGAAGAAUCUGAUAGUCGAACUGAAUGAAGCCAAGUCCAGUCUUUACGGAAAAAUUUACACAACACUUCCAGCCGGAGCAGAUGUGUAUUAACCCAAUUGGACAUCCGUGAAGACACCAAGGCCCAGAGAGAUCAUAAGAACCUAUAGAAGUUUCCAUGACUGGUGGAUGUGACAGUCAAGCCGCAGUUUGUAUAAUACACAGCCAUAAUCUUAUCUACCACUUUUAAAAAUUAAACAUAGAUGAAAUGUUUACAGUUCUUUGUGAGUGAAUCUAUAAUUUUGCUUAAAAAAAGCACAAGGCAGUGCUGAGGGCUCCAUUAACAGUUUGAAAUAUAUUCUUUGUCUUCUGAGUUUCUCUGAAUAUUACAGAGGCAAUGGGAACUUGAGGGAAAUUUGCUCACUGCUGUGUGUGACAGCAUACCAGCUUCCUUUAUCACAUAAAAAAGGAUUCCCCUGGAUCUCGCUCAUUCUGCAAACAAUGCACAGGGCGAACUCUUAUUCUGCUUACAGUAACUUUAAAUUUUGAAGGCAAGUGUGUAAAUUAAGGAUCUAAGCCAGGUGUGAUGGAGCGCACCUGUGGUCCCCACUACUCAGAAAGCUGAGGUGGGAGGAUCAUCUGAG
rnacentral:lncRNA from 1 species